GUGAACGCUGGCGGUAGGCCUAACACAUGCAAGUCGAACGGCAGCACAGUAAGAGCUUGCUCUUACGGGUGGCGAGUGGCGGACGGGUGAGGAAUACAUCGGAAUCUACUUUUUCGUGGGGGAUAACGUAGGGAAACUUACGCUAAUACCGCAUACGACCUACGGGUGAAAGCAGGGGAUCUUCGGACCUUGCGCGAUUGAAUGAGCCGAUGUCGGAUUAGCUAGUUGGCGGGGUAAAGGCCCACCAAGGCGACGAUCCGUAGCUGGUCUGAGAGGAUGAUAAGCCACACUGGAACUGAGACACGGUCCAGACUCCUACGGGAGGCAGCAGUGGGGAAUAUUGGACAAUGGGCGCAAGCCUGAUCCAGCCAUACCGCGUGGGUGAAGAAGGCCUUCGGGUUGUAAAGCCCUUUUGUUGGGAAAGAAAAGCAGCAGGUUAAUACCCCGCUGUUCUGACGGUACCCAAAGAAUAAGCACCGGCUAACUUCGUG
rnacentral:rRNA from 1 species